ACGGGAGGCAGCAGUGGGGGAUAUUGCACAAUGGGCGAAAGCCUGAUGCAGUAACGCCGCGUGAGGGAAGACGGUUUUCGGAUUGUAAACCUCUGUCCCUGGUGAAGAUAAUGACGGUAGCCAAGGAGGAAGCCACGGCUAACUACGUGCCAGCAGCCGCGGUAAUACGUAGGUGGCAAGCGUUGUCCGGAAUUACUGGGUGUAAAGGGAGCGCAGGCGGGUAGACAAGUUGGAUGUGAAAUACCGCAGCUUAACUGCGGAGCUGCAUCCAAAACUGUAUAUCUUGAGUGGAGUAGAGGCAGGCGGAAUUCCGAGUGUAGCGGUGAAAUGCGUAGAUAUUCGGAGGAACACCAGUGGCGAAGGCGGCCUGCUGGGCUCUAACUGACGCUGAGGCUCGAAAGGGUGGGGAGCAAACAGGAUUAGAUACCCUGGUA
rnacentral:rRNA from 1 species